UACGUAGGGGGCUAGCGUUGUCCGGAUUUAUUGGGCGUAAAGAGCGCGUAGGCGGCCGAGUAAGUCCGACGUGAAAUCUGGAGGCUCAACCUCCAGCGGUCGUUGGAAACUACUCGGCUAGAGUCCGGAAGAGGAGAGUGGAAUUCCUGGUGUAGCGGUGAAAUGCGCAAAUAUCAGGAAGAACACCGAUGGCGAAAGCAAGCUCUCUGGGACGGUACUGACGCUGAGGCGCGAAGCGUGGGAAGCGAACGAGG
rnacentral:rRNA from 1 species